UACAGCCAUAUCAUGUUGAAACUUCAAUUCCUGUAUGAUCACCGAAGUUAAGUAAUGUCGAGCCUGGUCAGUAUGUAGAUGUGCGACAGCUUGGGAAUACCAGGUGCUGU